CCUACGGGAGGCAGCAGUGGGGAAUAUUGCACAAUGGGCGCAAGCCUGAUGCAGCGACGCCGCGUGGAGGAUGAAGUCCCUUGGGAUGUAAACUCCUUUCAAUCCCGACGAUAAUGACGGUACCGAAAGAAGAAGCACCGGCUAACUCUGUGCCCUCCGCCGCGGUAAUACGGGGGGGGCAAGCGUUGCUCGCAAUUACCGGACGCACAGGGCUCGUAGGCGGCCAACUAAGUCUUACGUGAAAUCCCUCAGCUUAUCCGGGUAACUGCCUCUGAUGCUGGAUGGCUUGAGUUUGGGAGAGGGAUGCGAAAUUCCCGGAGUAGCGAUGAAAUGCGCAAAUAUCGGGGGGAACACCGGUGGCGAAGGCGGUUCUCUGGGCCUGUACUGACGCUGAGGUGCGAAAGCUUGGGGAGCAAACAGGAUUAGAUACCCUGGUACCCCACGCCGUAAACGAUGGAUGCUAUGCCGUUGUCGGGUUUACCCGUCAGUGGCGCAGCUAACGCAUUAAGCAUCCCGCCUGGGGAGUAGGGUCGCAAGAUUAAAACUCAAAGGAAUUGACGG
rnacentral:rRNA from 1 species